GAUGAACGCUGGCGGCGUGCCUAAUACAUGCAAGUCGAGCGAACAGACGAGGAGCUUGCUCCUCUGACGUUAGCGGCGGACGGGUGAGUAACACGUGGAUAACCUACCUAUAAGACUGGGAUAACUUCGGGAAACCGGAGCUAAUACCGGAUAAUAUAUUGAACCGCAUGGUUCAAUAGUUAAAGACGGUUUUUCGUUCACUUAUAGAUGGAUCCGCGCCGCAUUAGCUAGUUGGUAAGGUAACGGCUUACCAAGGCAACGAUGCGUAGCCGACCUGAGAGGGUGAUCGGCCACACUGGAACUGAGACACGGUCCAGACUCCUACGGGAGGCAGCAGUAGGGAAUCUUCCGCAAUGGGCGAAAGCCUGACGGAGCAACGCCGCGUGAGUGAUGAAGGUCUUCGGAUCGUAAAACUCUGUUAUUAGGGAAGAACAAAUGUGUAAGUAACUAUGCACGUCUUGACGGUACCUAAUCAGAAAGCCACGGCUAACUACGUG
rnacentral:rRNA from 1 species